rnacentral:tRNA from 1 species
GGAGAUGUAUCGAAGAGGCCAUAACGAGCCUGACUCGAAAUCAGGUUGCCCGCAAGGGCACGUGGGUUCGAAUCCCACCGUCUCCG